rnacentral:rRNA from 1 species
CAAUAGCGUAUAUUAAAGUUGUUGCAGUUAAAAAGCUCGUAGUUGGAUUUGUGGCGUACGGUGUGUUCCGGGCACUUGUUGUCUGAGUAACCUGCUGUUGCCAUCCUUGGGUGGAACCUGUGUGGCAUUAGGUUGUCGUGCAGGGGAUGCCCAUCAUUUACUGUGAAAAAAUUAGAGUGUUCAAAGCAGGCUUAUGCCGUUGAAUAUAUUAGCAUGGAAUAAUGAGAUAGGACUUUUUUGCUAUUUUGUUGGUUUGCGCAAGAAGGUAAUGAUUAAUAGGGACAGUUGGGGGUAUUCGUAUUCCAUUGUCAGAGGUGAAAUUCUUGGAUUUUUGGAAGACGAACUACUGCGGAAGCAUUUACCAAGGAUGUUUUCAUUAA